AACAGGUGCUAAUACCGGAUAACAACAUGAAUCGCAUGAUUCAAGUUUGAAAGGCGGCGUAAGCUGUCACUUUAGGAUGAGCCCGCGGCGCAUUAGCUAGUUGGUGGGGUAAAGGCCUACCAAGGCAAUGAUGCGUAGCCGAGUUGAGAGACUGAUCGGCCACAUUGGGACUGAGACACGGCCCAAACUCCUACGGGAGGCAGCAGUAGGGAAUCUUCCACAAUGGACGCAAGUCUGAUGGAGCAACGCCGCG
rnacentral:rRNA from 1 species